UGGGGAAUAUUGCGCAAUGGGCGAAAGCCUGACGCAGCGACGCCGCGUGGGUGAUGAAGGCCUUCGGGUCGUAAAGCCCUGUCGGGAGGGACGAAACCUCGGUGACCUAAUACGUCACCGACCUGACGGUACCUCUUAAGGAAGCACCGGCUAACUCCGUGCCAGCAGCCGCGGUAAUACGGAGGGUGCAAGCGUUAUCCGGAUUCACUGGGUUUAAAGGGUGCGUAGGUGGGCAGAUAAGUCAGUGGUGAAAUCUUCCGGCUUAACCGGGAAACUGCCGUUGAUACUAUUUGUCUUGAAUAUUGCGGAGGUAAGCGGAAUAUGUCAUGUAGCGGUGAAAUGCUUAGAUAUGACAUAGAACACCAAUUACGAAGGCAGCUUACUACACAAUCAUUGACACUGAGGCACGAAAGCGUGGGUA
rnacentral:rRNA from 1 species